rnacentral:misc_RNA from 1 species
GCUACGGAAAAUAUCGUAGGCAAAACGUAUCGCAUCGACGAUUCGAGGUACACAAAAUAUGGGCCUAAACGCGGCUGUACAAGCUCUAAAGAAAGCAGAACCGUUAAAAGACAAAGUACAACGUUGCAGAGAUUUGUUAAACGACAAUGACGCUUGGGUAUGUCAGCAACAGUUACAAAAAAUAUAUCAACAAGUUCUUAUAUUGGAUUUGGAAUAUGCAUUGGAUAGAAAAGUCGAACAAGAACUUUGGAACCUAGGAUUUAAAAAUUACAUAGCAACUUUGCAAUCGCAAGCGAAAGACAGGAAGAAUCCUAAGCGCGGAGAAUCUCAGGCUUUACUUAGUUGGUGUUUAGAGGCAGCGAGCGGUUUCUAUUUAACGUUAUUGCAAGAAAUUUGUACGGCAUUCGAUUUGGAUCUACCAUUCAGAAGGAAAGGUUACGUGUACGGGUGUACAUCACCGUGGAAAGCUGUCGAGAAACUAUCAGUGCCUCACAAAUCGUCGUGUUUUUACGCGUGCCAAUAUUGCCUUGUUCAUUUGGGAGAUAUCGCUCGUUACAGGAACGAAAGUAAACAAGCGGAAUUGUUUUACAGGCACGCAGUGUCGUUGUCACCAUCCAGUGGACAACCUUAUAAUCAGUUAGCUCUGCUCGAAGCAUCACGCGGUAAUAAAUUAGGGACCGUGUUUCAUUAUACACGAUCCGUUGCCGUGAAACAUCCAUUUCCCGUAGCCACAACGAACUUGGCAAAAACAUUAUCAUCCGCUUUGAACGAUACAUCGUUAAAUAUCGAUGGGAAAACCAAACUGACCUCUCAAGAGUAUAUAUCUGUCUUUUUGAAACUUCACGGCGUAAUUCAUAAUCUCGGAGAUUUAAAAAUCGCUUCUACUUACGCAAAAUUGUUAACCGAAACGUUAACAGCCUUGGUCGCAACGGAAAGUUUUAGCUCUUGGAUGCUCGUACAAAUGUUCGUAAUCAACUUGUACGCUUUGGAACACGCAACGAACAUUGUCGCGGGUAACACAGAUUCGUCGAAACACGAACAGUUAACGUCCGAGGAGAAAAUUGCUCGGGACUGUAUUUUAGAUCUUAUAGCAGGCAGCUUGUCCGCUUUGUUAUUACCUGUCUAUACGAUAAAAAAUUCUAUCGUGGAGUAUUUCGCUUUGCCUUCUAUAAAACUGUGCCUUGAUUGGAUUCACACUAAACCCACAGUUUUGGAAGAAGCGGCUUUUACGUCGAGACUUCAAAUCUGGCCCAGUUUGUGCGUAUUAUUGAACGCGUUGCAAAAUUGCGUAGCUGAUUUUCCAUACGAUCAAUACGUCGAAGUACCACUGCCAGAGGAUCGUGAUUUACAAGGAUUUUUACCGUUGGAGAAAAGUUUCGAGUGCUUAAAAUUUACAAAUACCGAUUUAGAAGACGAUAUCGAAGCUUCGAAUAAAUUACGCGCAGUUCGUAUCCUUCGUUCGGGACAUUGUUUAGCGCAAUAUAAAAUCAAUGGUUCCGCGUUAAUCGCCAUUACAUCGGGAGAGGAGAAAGGUAAUAACAGAUUCAGUUCGAUGAGCGAAGGAAACGGUUUGAGUAACGAACUGAUGAAAGAAUUGGAGGAGCUCAGUUUGAACAAAGAAAGACAAUCGGCCGCGUCCGGUGUAUCAAUUAGUCCGGUACUCUCGGAAACUGCCAGUAGUAAAGGUUCCGCGGAUAUCGAUACGUCGGAGCACGGUUUGGACAAAAGGAUAGGCAUUUUGAAACCUCAAGGUUCAUUGGAACGAAGCAAAGAUCCGUUGCUGAUUAAUACGGAAUCGAGUUCUUUCGAGCAGAAUACGUUACCCGCGAUUAGAAAACCGCGACAAAACGUGGCGAUGCAAACUAUUAUGCGACGUGCCGAAACGGAACAGAAGCAAGUGACGUUCAAGAACGUGUCACCGUUAAACGUAGAAGAGGAGAACGAGAAAAGGGUUAAACCAAGUUCGGUAUCGCCUACGAAAGGUAUAUCCGUCGAAAACAAGAAUAUACCGCCGAUAAUUAUCGGAGAAACAUCGAAACAGAGCAGCAUUCCCAGUUUGUCCACGAACGCGUUGAUCACUGUUCAAAAUCGAUUACCAUCGAUGCCUUUCGUCACGACUACCGUGCAGAAUCAACUCGUUACAGUACCCUCGAAUCAAAGUAAAACAAGCAAACUACAACACAACGUUUCCCAGCCAUCGCAGAUCAAUUACAUCGCUCCAAAGGACCAACAAACUUCCGGAAUUCUAACAACGAUACCCGCUACUUCUCCGUGCGUGGUCGGUACUAUUUGUUAUCAAAAUCCAACGUUCAAUGUACAAAAUCCGCAAUUCACGAAAAAUUAUAUGUCGAAUCACGGAGGUAAUGUAUCGAGUUAUCCGAUUCAAGGACACUUUUCCAGCCCAACGCAACAACAUUCGAUGUCGCAAAAUAUAAGUUUACAACAUACGUCGAACCAGAACAGGUCUAUGCAUCAGAGAGUGCAAACUCCGAAUAUACCGCAGAAUUCGUUGUUACAUCAACAAACCGUUGGGAUUCCUUCUUCGACUCAACAAACAGUUAUAUCGAACGCUUCGCAGAGUAUGAAUUCUCAGCAAACCGGGAACAUAGCUCUGCAACAAAGCAUAAACGCGCAACAACAAGGUCAUAGUUUGAGUAUUCAGCAGAAUCACGGUACGAAUAUGCAGCAACAAAACGCUGUCGGUGGAAAAAGCAAUCUCCGGCCAGGCACAGUAUCUUUACAUAAUCAAAUUCCCUUAACCAGUUCAUCCGUUACGAACGUUUGUACUUUAUCGACAAUAAAUACAUAUCAGAAGAAGCUUUAUCAAACGGGUGCACCCGUGGUGUCGAACGUACCGAUUAAUUCGUUAAAUUCGUUAAAUUCGUCCGCUACACCGGCGAAUUUGCAAUUUAAUUUUAAUCAAAGCGAUUUUAACCAAAACGCUUUUGGACAGAUAUCAUCGAAACAAUUGUCUUCGUCGGUGUACAAUAAAAAUACCGAUAUUUUAGAAUUUUCAUUGCCCAAUCACGCGAACAUGUCUAAAAAUCAAUCGCAAAUCGUGAACAAUUUUAAUCCGUUAUUUCAAAAUUACGAGACCGCGAAUUUCAAUCUGUGGAAAGACACUCGACAACCACAAUUUUCGGUACCUUGGGGUUCAUCGACCGGCAGAAGUAUGCAAUUAUCCGGCGAAGAUACGCCGGCCAUAGAAAAUUAUAACAAGUGGGACAACGGUUCUUCUUCUUCGUCCAACAUAGGAAACAUGAUCUCGGUCUCGUUAAGAAGUUGCAACGAUUAUCAGUCGGAAUCGCAGCAGCAGCAGCAGCACGGAAAACAUUUUGGCAACGCGAGCAAUUUGGAAAGCUCCGGAACUUUGGAAGUAGAGGCGAAACCAAAUCAAUUGGUCGGUACAGGAAACACCUACUCGUUGUUUAGCAGUAACACCACGUGGGGAUGUAAUUCGCAAAGUUCUAACGCGUCGAAUCAAGAUCAGACAAAAACUCGACUCAGUCAACAAUCUUUAUGGUCCGGUCCCGGGCCAUCUCCGUUAGAGCGGCUUUUAGAACAGCAAAAAUCGUUACGCGAAGGCGGUACCUGAAGGAAAGCAACGUAGUAUCACGACGAAAUAUAUUGGAAAAAAAGAUAUAUCCAGUUUAUGGAUUUAGCUUACCAAGGGCAUCUAGCGAAACGUACAACAAUAAAUUCCAUCGAUCGUUCGGCGAAAACGUUAAAUUUGUUACGAACCAAGGGUGAAAAAAAAAAAAAGAGAGAGGGUUUCGUAGCCGAUUAUAGAGAUGUUCGUUAACGUAAGAUGAACGAUACAUACGUCCAACGCGUUAUGAAUUACGCUAUAUAAACACGUAGGUGUUUGUUAUUUUACACAUUAUUGCGGGCACGAUAGCAAACAAAAAGGUAUUCCGAUAACGAACGAUGUGCGAUGAAAUUGUUCAAAGUAGUCCGAUUUCGAAAGGGCGAACGUGACCAGAAGGCGAAAAAGAACGAAGUUCGACAAGAUAAAGAUUUGUUAACGAACGAAUAAACAAACGAUCCAAAAAAAAAAAAAAAGAUAUCGCACACGUCGAGAACAUAUAUUUUGUGAGAAUGAUUUUACGUCUUUCGGUGACAUUCUAUAAUAAUCGUGUACAACUUUUGUUUAUAAACGAUGCUUUAUUAAUAAAAACAAGCAGUACGCAUGUACAUGUGUAUAUAUAUAUAUAUAUAUAUAUGUACAUACAAUACACGAAGAGAAUAAACCAAGUUUGUGCAUUUUACAAUCGAAGAAGACACGAAAUAUUCAAGAUGAAAGAAAGAAAAAAGAAAAAACAAACAUUUAAUUAUGUAACACCGAAAUAAAUAAUAAAUUAGUUCGUUUUCAACGACGAAACGAAAAAUUAUAUUUAAUUAAUGAAAAAUACAUAUAUGUUACGAGUCCAAAUAAAACUUGCGUCAUGAUUAA